rnacentral:lncRNA from 1 species
GCCCUGUGGUGGCUGCAGUGCCAUGGAGAGGCUGCCAUCCUCUGAGGGCCUAGGCCCUGGGCUGACCUUUGGGAAGCUAGGCAAAAUGGUGGUGGAGCUGCUGCCCCCUGACCUGAGUCCACACCUCACCUUCUGCCAUCUCCAAAACAAGACACUGGUGUGUCCAUCUCUCAUUAGCUUAUUGUGAUCCCGCGUUAAGCAAGGGACAUGCAUUCCAAGACCCCCAGUGGAUGCCUGAAACCUCAUAUAAUAUUGAGCCCUACAGGGUCUCCUUAUGUUGACCAGGGAGAUCUCAAACUGCUGGCCUCAAGUUAUCCUGUUGCCUUUGCCUGUGAAAACUUUGGGAUUAAAGGUAUUAUCCACCAUG